GUCAUGUUAGGUAAACGAAAAUAACAUAGAUGGAAUUUAUUCUGAAUUUGAUUAAAUGUUUACAGUGAAAGGGUGAAAACAUCAAUUUUUUUACUAACAAUUUGGGAAAACUUGAAAGAAAGGAAACUUGAUGAGCUUCAUAGGCGAUUUACAUUAUGUGUGGUUAGAUUUUCCUUUUUUCUUGACGGAAAAGUAAAAAUUUUGCUACAUGAAGCACGUUCACGUA
rnacentral:lncRNA from 1 species